CACUCCCAAUCAUAGGGUCGUGGACUGGAGGUUUUGUUCUGGGGACACGACAGGCAGUACAACAGUGCUGACCAAUAGUCUACACUGUACACAGAGCCAUCUUCAGGCAAUGAGGUAAAACGCAUACAGCUUUGAAAUCUACCUGAGUAGGUGCCAGCGACCUUCUUGCACAGUGUGUAUGAGAUGGGCAGAGGAAGGGACACUGUGCACUGAGGUGAGGACCAGUAGGGUGACGCGCAAUCCUGCAGGGGUCAAUGGGGAUGGGAGACAGAAAGACACUGGCUCUUACAACAUACAUCUGAAUCUCAGAGGAACCAUGAGACGUCUGCUUCAACCCAAGCUGUGCACCAGCCCUUUUGUUGUAACUCUCACUGUAGUCAUGGUGGUGGCACUUGUCCUAGAGGCUGUCAGGGUGACUGCCACUCACUCAGUGCCUUUAAAAAUACCAGUUUUCUUUGAAAUGGUUAAGAAUAAAACCAGAUUAAAGUUUACUUUGACCUCA
rnacentral:lncRNA from 1 species